rnacentral:rRNA from 1 species
UACGUAGGUGGCAAGCGUUGUCCGGAUUUACUGGGCGUAAAGAGCGCGCAGGCGGUUGUGCAAGUCGCGUGUGAAAGCCCCCGGCUCAACUGGGGAGGGUCAUUCGAUACUGAUCGACUCGAAGGCAGGAGAGGGUAGUGGAAUUCCCGGUGUAGUGGUGAAAUGCGUAGAUAUCGGGAGGAACACCAGUGGCGAAGGCGACUACCUGGCCUGUUCUUGACGCUGAGGCGCGAAAGCUAGGGGAGCAACGGG